CACUGACUUCACACCAAUAUUUACUAUGUUAGACAAUAUUCUUUGGGUAGAUUGCUCUUUCUUGCCAGACUGUAAACUUCAUGGGGGCAAGAAACAUAUUUGCUUUGACACUAAAACUCAGUAUCUUGACAGAGUCAGUCUUUUAGUUGAAUGAAUAAAUGAGAAUAUACAGAAUAAAUAAAUAGUAUUUCUACCCUCCAAGAACUGCCUAAUAGAGGAGACAAGGAAAUUGAAAUGUAUUUCAUAACUUUCACUAUUAGGUGAAUAUAUAAUUUGUUGUUCUGACACAAGUUUGAUCAUAAAAAGGGCAUAUUAAUAAUUACACAGAGUUGAAGUGUAUAAACAGGAACGAGCUAGGGCCAAGCAGGUUAAAUGUUCACCCUAGCUAUAUAAGGUAUUCCACAUCAAUAGAAGAGGGAGAAGGAUGAGGGUACGGAGUGCAGGAGGGAGGGUGGUUAUGGUGGGAAGAAUCACCAUGUUCCUAAAGUUGUAAUUAUGAAAUGUAUGCAGAUUAUAUUCCUUAAAUCAAAGGUUUCUGGGGAAAAAUAGAAUCUAUUUUGGUAGAUAUUAUAGCUUUUACCAAGAAACUAAGAGAAAUGUGUGAAAUUCUAUUUUUUUAAUAUUUAUUUUAUUUUAUUGAAAGAGUUACAGAGAGAGGUAGAGCCAGAAAGAGAUCUCCCAACCUCUGAUUCACUCCCCAAAUGACUGCAAUGGCCAGAACUGAGCUGAUCCAAAGCCAAGAGCCAGGGUCUCCCACAUGUGUGCAGGGACCCAAGGACUUGGGCCGUCUUCUGCUUUCCCAGACCAUAGCAGAGAGCUGGAUCAGAAGUGGAGUAGCAGGACUCAAACCAGUGCCCAUAUGGAUGCCAGCACUGCAGGUGUGGCUUACGUGCUACACCACAGCCCUGGCCCCCCUACAAUGUUUCUACUUAGUAAAACCAAAUAUUUACACUAAUGGGGUAUUUCCUGGAAAGCUAUGCAGGAAGGUCGGGUCCUAGAAACUGAGACCCUGCUUCCCACAUGUGAAGCAAGGAGGAACUGACAAUCCUGAAAACAAUUCCUCACCUGCAUGUACACCAUACACAAGCACUGUAUCUCCCUGGUUACACCUUGUCCCCACUGCCCGAUUGAGGGAGACGUGGGGCUGCCAUGAAACAGCUCCUCACAGAGGGCUCUGAGGAUGAGACAUCUCUUUGAACAGGGAAGGGGCCUACCAGGGCAGACCGCAUUUUCUAGACCACAAGGAACCGAGGGGUGUGCUGUGGGGACAGCGAGAAUCGGGCCCACAGGUUCCAGAGAUGACCUCUGGGAGCCCGCAUCCUGCCAGCAGGUACCACCAGCUUCCCCUUCCCCCACUCUGGACACCUGGCCCCACACACCAUUGCUGGGCAUAUGAGAUGGGCUGUGUUGGGUGGAAAAAGUCAGAGAACAGCGGAUGCUGCACUAGCUCCUGAGUCUCCAAGUGGCAGAGGCCCCUCCUUGGACCUCUCUCCUCCAGGAAUUUGGAACUCAGUGGUGUCACAAUCCAGUGUGAUUAUGUGGCAGUGACUCCACUGCACCGGAUUGGACAGCUCACAUAGCCGUCAGCACGCAGGACACAGAGGACUCAACAAAUCAGCAUCUUUACAGCAGAGAUGGGAAACUCCAGGCUCCAGGCUGCUCCAGAUGGUAGAGAGGUGAGGCCUGGGUUCAGGGGCCAAGGGCCUCCUCUAGGCUGCACCCUUUCACCAAAGGGAUCCUGCCACCUUCUGGGACCCUCCUGCCUCCCCAUGGGUCUUCCUUAGAGAAUCCUACCUGGAGGCUGCAGUAACCUGCUUAAGGGUUGCACAAUUCUGCCCAAAAGGACCUUGUAGAGAGAUUGGAAGGCAGGAGGAAGAGCUGGAACUUGAUUCUCCCAGUGCAUAUCAUUCCUGGCAGAGCAAGUGUUUCUUCACCAGGCAGAAGUCCUGCUCAUUUUAGCUUCCAGCUUCUUUGUGCUCUUCCUGAACCAGCCUCAUGCCCCCACAGCAGAACAUCAGAAGCACUGGAGCUGCUUGGAGCUGCUUCUCCUCUUCAGAGGUUUGAAAUGCCAUGAUACAACUCUCUCCAGCUGGCUUAUUCACUUGAAGUGGAUAGUGGCUGGACUGAUCAUAUUGAAAUACCAAGUCAACCAAUCUAUCCAAAACCAUCCAAUGGAAGCCAAAGUCAAAGAUGAUGCCUUCCUCAAAUCCCCCUAAGGGGAGUGCUUUCCUGAGAUUAACAAAGUGCUGUCAUCUGGUAAUGGACUCCUGUGUGGACCUCCUCCAACUGGACGACACUCCAUGGAUUGUUUCACCAUUCUUUCUUAGGCAGAGAGAUCAGUUUUUUCAAUGUAAUGAUUUUACAGUUUAAGUCCUCUCAGAAACUGCCUACAUAAACCUUUCUGGGAUAAAGAAUUAAAAAAAUAAAGUACAAAGGAACUAUCAGAUGGGAAAACACAUUGUGCAAUAUGAAGUCUAACAACUCUGGAUUCUGAAUUAUAACAGAAGGCAUUGAUGUUGUUUUCUGGGAGAAUGAUUGAACUGCUAUGGUUGGCAUGCUCACUUUUUAGGGCCACAUGAGGGAAAGGGGUACAAGCUGCUUGCUUGCUAUAGUCCCCUCUAGCUCUGUUCCUGGCAUCCCAAAAUGUGUAAGAGUCCAAGAAGGUGUCAAGGAAAUGGGAUUUACUAGGGAUAUAUAAUUUGUUGUUUGCAAUAAAAUGAGAAAUAUCAUCCACUAGUGAGGUAUGUCACUUCUUAAUUCUUAGUUUAAAAAAACCAUUGAAAAGGAAAGAUUAUUCCUAGUGCCUGGCAUUGAACAAAAUGUUUACUGCCAAGAGUCGUCACUAACCAGAAUGUGAGUAGUUAUGUGAACUUUUACUCCAUGGAUCGCAGGAACCACAUACGAUUGCUGAUAAAAUACAGAAUUCCAGUUAAAUUUGAAUUUCAAACAAAAAAAUACUUUGGCACAAGUAUUACAUGAGGCAAACUUACAUUAAAAAGUAUUCAUGGCUUUUAAGAAACUCAUUUACCUUCUAUGUAUCAGGCAAACAGCCAUGGAUGUACAUGGAUGUACAUGUGCAUGUGCUCACACAUUUGUUCAAUAGGCACACAUUUGCACAUCCACAUGUCUGUGUGAACACAUUUGUGUACCAGACACAUGUCUGUGUAUUUAUGUGUACACGGGAGCA